UACGGGGGGGGGCAAGCGUUGUUCGGAAUUACUGGGCGUAAAGGGCUCGUAGGCGGCCAACUAAGUCAGACGUGAAAUCCCUCGGCUUAACCGGGGAACUGCGUCUGAUACUGGAUGGCUUGAGUUCGGGGAGAGGGAUGCGGAAUUCCUGGUGUAGCGGUGGAAUGCGCAGAUAUCAGGAGGAACACCUGUGGCGAAGGCGGCCAACUGGCCCGACCCUGACGCUGACGGCGCGAAGGCGUGGGGAGCGAACGGG
rnacentral:rRNA from 1 species